GAAAAACAAGCAACCCCUGAAAAAAUCUACCUGUUUGAUGAGAGGACUAACAGAGUGCAGAAUACCUAUUCUGAUCUACACAAUUAAUGUCCGAAUGACAAAACAAUGUAAUCAAUGCCUCCAUCUGCCAUUUUCAAGGUCGUCAUCAAAGAUUGGUCGGGUCUCAUGGGCACUGUGUUCUGAUACGGCAAUGCUAUGUUCAGAUUGAACAUACAUACUGUCAGCUACAGGUUGUCUAAUAGUAAGACGGCCUGGAUUAUUCGACGUAGAUUGUGAACCAGUUCGCUGUUCUGCCAGCCUUU
rnacentral:misc_RNA from 1 species